CGUCGGCAGCCGCUCCGUGCUUCCUCCUGCUCUACUGCUGUUUCCCUGUGCUAGCUCUGCAAAUUUUACAGGACAAACCUCAUGACUGCUCAAGGGAUAAUGAAUCACUAGCUGGAUGCAACCAAAUGGCUCGUGGAUUUCUAAAAUAAUGCAAGGACUACACCCAAAGCCAAAAUUAAAGCAGCCUUCAUGACAAACUCCCAAAAUGAGUGUUGGAAUUGCCACGUCCACAGUAAGGUUGCAAUAAACUGCUACUAUUACUGGGAGCUUUCUACACAGCUUGAACAACAUUACAUUUAAUAUGGCAGUUCCCUUGGAAAAGCUAUUGGUUACAUUAGCACAGAUGUGACACAGAUGUGUUCAUGAGGAACUGCAGUGGAAACAAACUAUUUUAGCAAGAGUGCAAGAGUCAAAACAAUGAGUUGAUUAGAUGACCAGCUCAAUUAAAGAACUCAGGUCACAGGCACUCAUGAAGUUCUUACACACAUGUAACCUGAGCAUCCUUCAAGAUACUGAGAAGUAACUGGGUACGUCAGGACUGCACUCUUCCAGAACCGUCAUGGACAGAUUCCACAGAAGUCUUCCAUCACACCUUGACAGGCAGUUCCAUCAGUACAGACUCUUCUACAGCUACAUCAUCCUUGGUUAAACUUACUUCCAAAAGCAUUCAACAGAAACCAAAGUUUCCAAACAUAAAUUCCAUCUGUCUCAUUUCUACAUGAACUGGAAUAAUCAGAUGAAGCUUUACUUGUAUAGUUCUAAAACACAUGAAGGACCCAAUAAGCAAUUCCUUACCUAUGUUUUCCAUAAAACUAAAGUUUUCUACCAUGGACCUCAGAUCAACUUUCUUUACACACACACACACAGACAGAAAAAAAGCAGAGAAAAAAAUACUUAAGCAAGAAAAACAUCCUGAAUCCUUAGCAGUGUAUAAUAUCAUG